GGCUUGUCCGAGACCAUAGAGCCACAAUAUAAGCACUAUCUCUCCUGCCCAAUUUAGACUGCUGAACCCACUGAGAGCCAUGUCUUUUAUCGUUCACUCUUCUUAGCCACCAUUAGAGACCAUUGAACUCUUCUCCCAAAGCCAUAAUACCCAUCCUCAUCACUAUAUAUUUCUCCGACUAGAUUCUUGUCGUCACUGACAUCCUCAUCACUGAGGGGCCUUAGAUCAAUGACCAACUCGCUCAACGACCAAUUUCUUUAGCCACUUCACCGCCCACAUCUUCCAGAAAACUCAAAGCAAGGAGGAAUAAAGCGAUGGUAAGACACAAGAAAUGGGCACUCACCAUGAAUUUGUUUGUGUAGAAGAGUUUCAAUGAAGAGAAGUGAUGCAGGUACCCCAUUCAUAUUAAAAGAAUACAAGAAGCUAAUAAGUUUAUUAUGUUUUACGAGUGCUCCAAUAGAUCAGAUGGUGCUUACAGGUAUUAGUCUGAUGCCUUUCUCUGAGGUUAUGAUCUUUCCAAAAUCCCCCAUGGUUAGAUCAUAAGUAGAAUGAAAAUUUUAGAGUCCUAAGUAUGGCCUUUCUAAGGUUCUCUUUUAAAAUACAAGUUAAUAGGUUCAUUAUGUUGCAUCACUAGUUUGGUAUCUCUUAAAUUCUAUUUAUUAUUAUGUCUGCAUUCCAUAUUUUGACAAAUUGAAAAAUACUAGUAGACGUUGCUUUAUAUUUUUAUUAUAAAGCAACCAAAUAUUUUAUUAUACUAAAAACAAUCUUUA